ACACGGCUGAGGUUUACCCGACGUACAUACGUGGCCUUGCAGUGGGCUUCUCACGUACUCAGUACCGCAUCGGGAGUAUACUCGUACCAUUCCUGUCGCAGGUGUUGCUCAGAAAGUCGGUUUACGCCAGUAAAAGCCUACAUGCAGGGAUAUGCAUAGCGACGGGUGUGAUGCUGCUCUUCCUGCCCAUUGAGACCAAGAACAGAGAUCUUGGCGAGGGAUGAUGAGACACCGCAUGGCCAGCAGCAUCACAGUAUUUUCAAUCCAGCCCGGUCUCCCAGGACCUAAAUGUAGCAGCGGCACUUGCCUGGCCUGGUGGCUGCUGGCUCCGCCAUGACCGUCAGUGUCCUUGACUCAGGUCAGUAUACCUGUGCCGUGUGCCGUGUGCUGUGUGCAAUGUGUAUUGUUGUGUGCUGUGGGCUUCCACUCGUAGACCAGUGUCUAUAUUCUGUCCCAGUGUUCACCUUGCACCCAGAUCAUGUGUGCGGGUUAGUCUGGUCUUGAUACUUCGAUUAGUGUGUGCGUGCGUGUGUGUGUGUGUGUAUGUAUGUGUGUGUGUGUGUGUGUGUGUGUGCGUGUGCGUGUGUGUGCGUGCAUGCAUGCAUGCACGUGUGUGUGUCCUUACAUUCAUGCGCCUGUGCCUGUGGCGAGUGCAGCAGUGUGUAACGGCAUGCCGUUGCCUGGUACCCACUUCAGCUGUGAGAGCUAUACUGAUAUUAUCUACUUCCUUUUCAAACUACACAGUGUAUUUGUUCACUUUUUUAGUUUGCCUGCCUUUCACCAACACAUCCUGCACCAGUCCCGCUGGGUUGUUUGUCUUCCUGAAGGACAACGGUUGGUGUAAGCGCCUGGAUGGGCAAAUGUGUAUGUAAACGUGUUGGGACUACUGCACAUGGCUUGUUUUUAGCCGUAACACAGCGUCCCACUCCCCCCCCCCCCCACUUCCUGCAUGCAGACUCGGUACUGCAGCCCUAAAGGCUAUUCACCGGGAAUUUCAGGGAAGACCAAAGCCCUCUGCAGCUAGCGGCAUCCGUUAGCAAUAUUUUGUGUUGAUUUUACGAAUAUUUCGAAAGCUAUUUUGGAAACGCCUUUCCCUGGCGAAGUGUUAUUUUUUACUAAACUAUAGCUGUGCCAAGCUCCCCC